rnacentral:rRNA from 1 species
ACUGACCGAUAGUGAACCAGUACCGUGAGGGAAAGGCGAAAAGAACCCCGGCGAGGGGAGUGAAAAAGAACCUGAAACCGUGUACGUACAAGCAGUGGGAGCCCCACCACUAAGCCAGUGGUGAACUCCACAUACGCAUCCUUUGCUGAGGAUACGGUUAACGGAGCGAAAGCGACGUUCAACCGCAAAAGAAGCAGAGGGGGCUUAGUGGUGGGGUGACUGCGUACCUUUUGUAUAAUGGGUCAGCGACUUAUAUUCUGUAGCAAGGUUAACCGUAUAGGGGAGCCGCAGGGAAACCGAGUCUUAACCGGGCGUUAAGUUGCAGGGUAUAGACCCGAAACCCGGUGAUCUAGCCAUGGGCAGGUUGAAGGUUGGGUAACACUAACUGGAGGACCGAACCGACUAAUGUUGAAAAAUUAGCGGAUGACCUGUGGCUGGGGGUGAAAGGCCAAUCAAACCGGGAGAUAGCUGGUUCUCCCCGAAAGCUAUUUAGGUAGCGCCUCGUGAACUCAUCUCCGGGGGUAGAGCACUGUUUCGGCUAGGGGGCCAUCCCGGCUUACCAACCCGAUGCAAACUGCGAAUACCGGAGAAUGUUAUCACGGGAGACACACGGCGGGUGCUAACGUCCGUCGUGAAGAGGGAAACAACCCAGACCGCCAGCUAAGGUCCCAAAGUCAUGGUUAAGUGGGAAACGAUGUGGGAAGGCCCAGACAGCCAGGAUGUUGGCUUAGAAGCAGCCAUCAUUUAAAGAAAGCGUAAUAGCUCACUGGUCGAGUCGGCCUGCGCGGAAGAUGUAACGGGGCUAAACCAUGCACCGAAGCUGCGGCAGCGACACUAUGUGUUGUUGGGUAGGGGAGCGUUCUGUAAGCCUGUGAAGGUGGCCUGUGAGGGUUGCUGGAGGUAUCAGAAGUGCGAAUGCUGACAUAAGUAACGAUAAAGCGGGUGAAAAGCCCGCUCGCCGGAAGACCAAGGGUUCCUGUCCAACGUUAAUCGGGGCAGGGUGAGUCGACCCCUAAGGCGAGGCCGAAAGGCGUAGUCGAUGGGAAACGGGUUAAUAUUCCCGUACUUGGUGUUACUGCGAAGGGGGGACGGAGAAGGCUAUGUUGGCCGGGCGACGGUUGUCCCGGUUUAAGCGUGUAGGUGUGUGUUCCAGGUAAAUCCGGUUCACUUUAACACUGAGGCGUGAUGACGAGGCACUACGGUGCUGAAGCAACAAAUGCCCUGCUUCCAGGAAAAGCCUCUAAGCAUCAGGUAACAUCAAAUCGUACCCCAAACCGACACAGGUGGUCAGGUAGAGAAUACCAAGGCGCUUGAGAGAACUCGGGUGAAGGAACUAGGCAAAAUGGUGCCGUAACUUCGGGAGAAGGCACGCUGACAUGUAGGUGAAGUGAUUUACUCAUGGAGCUGAAGUCAGUCGAAGAUACCAGCUGGCUGCAACUGUUUAUUAAAAACACAGCACUGUGCAAACACGAAAGUGGACGUAUACGGUGUGACGCCUGCCCGGUGCCGGAAGGUUAAUUGAUGGGGUCAGCGCAAGCGAAGCUCCUGAUCGAAGCCCCGGUAAACGGCGGCCGUAACUAUAACGGUCCUAAGGUAGCGAAAUUCCUUGUCGGGUAAGUUCCGACCUGCACGAAUGGCGUAAUGAUGGCCAGGCUGUCUCCACCCGAGACUCAGUGAAAUUGAACUCGCUGUGAAGAUGCAGUGUACCCGCGGCAAGACGGAAAGACCCCGUGAACCUUUACUAUAGCUUGACACUGAACAUUGAGCCUUGAUGUGUAGGAUAGGUGGGAGGCUUUGAAGUGUGGACGCCAGUCUGCAUGGAGCCGACCUUGAAAUACCACCCUUUAAUGUUUGAUGUUCUAACGUGGACCCGU